rnacentral:rRNA from 1 species
AUUGAACGCUGGCGGCAGGCCUAACACAUGCAAGUCGAACGAGUGGCGGACGGGUGAGUAAUGUCUGGGAAACUGCCUGAUGGAGGGGGAUAACUACUGGAAACGGUAGCUAAUACCGCAUACCAUCGGAUGUGCCCAGAUGGGAUUAGCUAGUAGGUGGGGUAAAGGCUCACCUAGGCGACGAUCCCUAGCUGGUCUGAGAGGAUGACCAGGCACAUUGGGAACUAGACACGGUUCCAACCCCCAAGGGAGGGAGGCGGGGGGAAAAUUGCACAAUGGGCGCAAGCCUGAUGCAGCCAUGCCGCGUGUAUGAAGAAGGCCUUCGGGUUGUAAAGUACUUUCAGCGGGGAGGCGUUACCCGCAGAAGAAGCACCGGCUAACUCCGUGCCAGCCGCCGCGGUAAUUC